AAUAAAGUGCCUGAUAAAAAGGAUUAUUCUGAUAGGAUAAAUUAAUGUAAUUUUUUACCUUUAUUA
rnacentral:tRNA from 1 species